CCUGGUGAUUGGAGCGUCGUGGCCCCACCUCUUCCCAUUCCGAACAGAGUCGUGAAACGCGACAGCGCUGACGAUACCUCGCCCUUCGGUGAGGGAAAAUAGGUCAUUGCCAGGA
rnacentral:rRNA from 1 species